AUGGGAACAUAUAGCUGGAGCAGGGGGUCCCUGAGUGCUGGGAGGGGGUUGGAUUGCAUUUUAGCGUAGGGUGGUCCGAGUAGGCUUUGCUGGAAAGCAACAGUUGAGCCAAGUGUUGAAGGAGGUGAUGGAGUCACCAGGCAGCUAUUUGACGGAGGAGCCAUCCGGACAGAGGGAGCAGCCCGCGCACAGAUUGAGGCAAGAGUGUGCCUGACGUGUUCAAUGAACAGCUAAAUGGUUGGAGCAGAGUAAGUGAGAGCUAGAGUAGCAGGAAAUGUGGUCAGAGAGGUAACAGGGAGCCAGGCCGUGCAGGGCCUUGUAGGCCACUAGAAAUUCUUUGGCUUUUGCUGUACAUGAGAUCUGAAGUCCCUGAAGGCUUGCCUUCUUAGAGGAGUGACAAGUUCUGAGUUCUGUGUUGCUAGGAGCCCUGCGGCUGCUUGGUGGUGAGGAGGCUGGAGUUGGCCUCGGGGUGAAGCAGAGAGACCAGCUAAGAGGGCGCUGCCCAGUAAUCCUGGUGACAGAUGGUGGGCCCUGUGGGUGAAGUCUGUGUGCGCUUCUUGUCCUGCAGAGGGAACAAGCAGGACGAGGAGGAGAACCAGGUGAGAGCAGUGCUGGGGCACUGAGGGAGGUCCACAGGGAGUGGGGGGCGCGGGGGCCCAGCGCAGUGGGCUGGAAGUGCUCCCGGGCUCAGACCAUCGCCGGCCGUUGUGAGUGCAUCGGGGCAGCAAUAGGUCACGACGGGAGUGUAGAGACCACGGCCUGUCCUUUCUCAGGUGUCAGCGUGAAGAAAAUGAGAGCGCUGGGGAGAACGAAGGCAGGCUGUUUCCUUCAGGUCCACUGGACAACGGACAGUGAUUGUGGCCUCAAGAUCCAAUCACUCAGAGAGAGGUGCGAGGGAACUCAGCUCCAGGUAGGAGUUUCUGCUCUUUCCCCAUCUCAGCAUCCAGCCUUGGCCACAGUUCUGAGAUUACUACCAAUUUAAAAUACCAAAAUAUUGGCUUAAAUACCAAUUC
rnacentral:lncRNA from 1 species